AGAAAGAAUGCAAGAACUGCUAAUUCCUGCCCUCCGUGUUUAACCUCACGGCUUUCUU
rnacentral:tRNA from 1 species